AAAUAUUAAUUUAGUUUUGGUUAAAAAUUAUUAUUUUUAAAAAGUAUUUACAUGUAAGUUUUUGCAUAUAAAUUAAUGGAUUUAUUUUUUGCAGUAUUUAAUAUUGAAUAUGAAUUUAAUUUUGAAUUGGGUAUUUUUUGUAAUUCUGUAUAAUUUUGUGCCAGCAUACGCGGUUAUACAAAAGGUGUAAAUUAAUAAAUUUGGUUUUUAUGAAGUUAAAUUAUUUUUUUUGAAUUUAAUGUUUUUGUUUUUAAGUGAAAUUUAAAUAUUAAUUAAUUUUGAUUUGAUUCUUUGAAAUAUAUAAUAUAAACUAGGAUUAGAUACCCUAUUAUUAUAUAUGUUAAAUUUUACUAGGGUAUUAGUAGAUAUGUUCUUUAAACCUAAAAAACUUGGCGGUGUUUUAGUCUAUUUAGAGGAAUUUGUGCUUUUAUCGAUAAUCCUCGUUUUAUCUUACUUUAUUUUGUUUAUCAGUAUGUAUACCGCCGUUAUAAGUUUAUUUUAUUAGAAUUAAAAUUUACUUUAUCUUUAAUUAAAGGUUAUUUCAGGUCAAGGUGCAGUUUAUAAUAAAGUGGUUAUGAAUUACAAUAUUAUUUGAAUAAAUGGAUUUAAAUUUUAAAAUUUUAAUAAAGGUGGAUUUAAUUGUAAUUUUAUUUAUAAUAUUAUUUUGAUUUUAGCUCUAAAAUAAGUACAUAUCGCCCGUCGCUCUCAUUUAUUUUGAGAUAAGUCGUAACAAAGUAGAUGUACUGGAAAGUGUAUCUAGAAAGAAUUAU
rnacentral:ncRNA from 1 species